rnacentral:pre_miRNA from 1 species
AUGUCCCCAUACCGUGAUGGACAUGAGGACAGUCAGCAGCCCAAUGUCCCUCUUGAUGCCAC